UUUGACAAAAUGACACUUAAGACUGGUUUUGUGCUUCAGGGUCACUUAUAAUCAUAAUAUAAAAGCGUAAUAAUGCAAGAAGGCCAACACACUUUCAAAUGACAAAACAUUUUUAAGAAUAUUUAGAUCAUGGAAAUUAAGUAUCAACAUAUUAGACACCUUAAAAAAGUCUAAUUUCUAACAAAAAGUGCACGUAGAAAAAAUGCACAAAGGACUUUUUCCAUCUACAGGUUUUUCCCGGACCUUCUUUUCUCGUAAACGAAGGGUGCACACUAUUGCUGUGAAACACGAUCACUACUCACAGAUCCAGAUUAAACUUCGUUUUGUAGAAGCAUUUUAAUUAAAUUUGAACUACACCACGUUAUGCACAAGAAGCUGCAAAAGAGAUGAGCGCAAGUGGACAUUAACGUUUAUGUAAAUGUAACGCUCGAUAUAUUACGUCCCCAAACAUGAUUGAGCUCAUGCACACAUGAAUGUAUUGAUUAUUGCGACAGGCCUAUAGGGAAUCAUUUUUUGUAUCUGUGUUUGAUGAGGCAUCAACACGCCAGUAAUGUCUGGAGGACAGUGUUGAGUGGGUGUUUGAGUUUUUGUGAACUUGUCAUGAGAACAUUUAUACUUUGAAUAUGCUGUAUAAAAGAGAAAUAAAACAUUUUUCAGACUUGGA